GCAUUCGGUGUUGAUCUCUGAAGUGAAGUGAUCGUAGACGGAAUGUUUGACGCAAUCUCGAUAACACCAGUGUCUUGUCUUUAAAGUUGAAAGGAGAUCAAAAUGGAAGAAUCAGAAAGUAUAGACAGUCCCUCCAUGGAUUCUAGAAGAACAUCUAAAGAUUCCAUUAAAGAUGAUUUAAGAACUAAAUCUGAUGAAGAGGUCUUUGCCAAGACCCUGCAAUCAAGAUCAACAAGAAGACGAUCAUCAUUCCCUCUGAUUUCUGUGAGCACUGAAAGUGACGAGUCCGUUGAGAUGGUGUCCCUCUGUGAUGGAAGUGUGAUGCGAAGCAGCCCUGCUAUGGCAAGUUCUAUGGGAGCAUUACCUGAUGUCAAAAGUCACUUCCCAUUGCGCAACAAGUUCCUUCAAGUUCCCAAGACCCAUGCAGCCCUUGGAAGCACAUUAAGUAUAGCUAGCCACAGGUUGGUAAGACCACCAUGCACCACAAGAACACAACCAGAAGAAUCCACAUUAACCUCAAAACCAAAGCGGAAGUGGUACCAGCUACUGCAGCAGUCAUCUGUCCAGUUUGGUCUUGAUUUCUGCUAUUCCACAGAAGGUGCCUUGGUUACCCCUAUUCUACUUCAGUUGGGUCUACCAGAUCAUCUGUAUGGACUUGCUUGGAUUCUUGCACCCGUCCUGGGUCUCAUUCUGGCUCCUUUUAUUGGGUCGGCUAGUGACCGGUGUUAUAGUCCAAUGGGCCAAAGAAGACCUUUCAUUCUGCCUCUAGGGAUCUGUGUUAUGAUAGGGACGGCACUGUAUUUGAACAGUGCCGAUCUUGGUGUCCUGAUCAGUAAAGAUGACGCAAAGACCGCUACAAUGUGGGGUAUUGCAAUAACAGUAAUCGGGGUAGCAUUGACGGACUUCAGUGCCGACUCCUGUGCCUCACCUUUCAAGGCAUACCUAAUGGAUACAUGCAAUCUUGAUGACCUUAAGCGUGCUCUCGGCAUGCGGAGUACUCUUGGAGGUAUUGGUGGAGGUCUGGGCUACAUCUGCAUUGCCAUUGACUGGGAACAGACAGUCUUUGGACAGGCCCUUGGGAGCCAGCUACGUGUGAUCUUUCUGUUGAAUAUCAUCAUGCUUCUCAUCUCCUUCAUCCUUACUCUGACAAGCAUUCCAGAGGUUCCUUUGAGGAGAUUUUCAUCAAGGAGUGAGUCAGAAACAAAGUACACCCCAUGUAGUGAUGAAGAAAGUGAUGGAACUAGUUACAAAUUACUGGACACAAACCAGGGCAAAAUGCUUAAACUUUGGUGUUUAAUCAAGUGGUUCUACAGGAAAAGGCCAACAGAGGAUAUUUCUCUUGAAAAUGGCGAAAGAACUUCCUUGUCGUGUGAUGAAAGUGAUGAAGGCAGUCCACAUUGUGAUGAGGAACGACCCCAUAAACAUAACAAACCCUAUGCAAAGCUCAAGAAGCAUAGAAUUUCCAAAGGGCAGAAUAGAUCCUCCGAUGGAAAACCUGCAAAUAAUGGAGGAGGUAGUAACAGGAACUUUGUUCCAAAGAAGAAAGCCAAGUCACCAUCAAAGAAAUCAGAAGCAGGCUCGUUGGCUGGAAGCAACUGUAUUUUGAAGAUCAACCCAAAUGACGAUACCAAGGACCUCUUGAAUUCCCAAGCCAAAAUGCCAGCAGGAUCGUUCAGUCAUGACGCAACCAUGCACCAGUGCAACGACAACAGCCAAUCUCUAGCUAUCUGCAUAUCCAACCCUUCUGUUGAGAUCAACUGUGGUGAUGAUGAAGAGGGUGGUGAAAGUGAUGACGAUGAUGAUAAUAAGGGUGAACCAGCAUCGAUUCUGCAGUUGCUCCGGUCAACAAUCCACAUGCCCAAGGAGUUGAGGUAUUUGAGUUUGGUGAAUUUCUUGGGAUGGGCCAGCAUCAUCAUAUUGAUCUGUUUCUUCACUGACUUUGUGGCUCAAGCUGUAUACCACGGUGACCCCGGUGCGGAGCCUGGCACGGAAGAGUAUCGUCUGUAUGAGGAGGGAGUUAAGAUGGGCAGUUGGGGACUAUGUGUCUACUCCUUUGUUUCCUUUGCGCUUGGAUUGGUAAUGACUACCCUACAACGCUAUUUCAGUCAGAAGUUCAUCUUUGUGACUGGUUACUUCAUCUUGGCUGUAUCAUGCGGUGCUAUGGCCCUGUGUACCAACCAUCCCUAUGCCAUCCUUUUCCUGUGCUCUGGACUUGGUAUCGCCAUUGUUAUUCACAUGACAAUACCCUACAAUGUAAUGGGCAUCUAUCACAAAUGUGAAAAGUUUAAGAACCCACCAGGAGGGCUCCCUCGGGGGCUUGGUACGGACAUGGCUUGUAUCGACUUCCAGGUGUUCCUUUCACAGAUCAUUGUUUCCGCUGCGUUGGGUCCUCUGAUCCAGCUAACUGGAUCUCACAUCUCCAUCGUUGUGUCUGCCGCCAUCAUGUCGUUCCUGGCGUCACUCUGCGCUGCAUUCUUGGUGACGUACGAGCUGAAAGAUGAAUGAUCUGAAAUUACAGAUCACAAGCAAAAGGAUGCAGAAUACAGUGAUGUACUGUAUGUAAAUGUACAUGUUUUAUGUACAGUAUAAUGAUCAUGAACUGUUGUCUUAACGGGUACUUAGGAAAGUACUUGGCAAUAUGUCUCCACCAGACACUCGUUGAAUUACAUAAUCAUAGGCUUUAUUGUACUUCUUGAUUUACAUGAUAUACAUGUACAUGCAAAUAUGCCAUUACACUGUUCAACGGUCUGCUUCUGAGGACUGCAUGUAAAUAUUUUUUUUUUUAAGAACAAAGCAUGAUGCUUAAAACAUGGAUUAUACUCUAUGGGAGAGUUCCUUUCAGAAUUAAUCUGAAAUGAGUUCAGGUUAAUUUGCAGUGUUUCAAGAACCAAUUACGGUUAUACUGAAGGCUUAUUCCAUUCAAAUAUUGAAGAUACGAUUGGACUACACUACAAGUAUCUUUAAUACUUACGUGAUUGCAGGUAUAGAUAUGCUUAGUACAUUUAACGACUGUAGGUGAUAUUUCAUAUUUAUAAAUUAAAGUUGUUUGUAAUUACAUGUAUGUUCAUGUGAGGUGCAAUGAGUAUGAUGUACAAUAUGGUCUGUGGCCCUGUGGUGCAUUAAUGUGUUUGGUUAUGGUUUUCAUGUGAAAGGAUGUCCAUAAAAGUCUUGAAUCCAACAAGAAAUAAUGAAAUAUAAUUACUGUUUUAAUAAAAUGUUAUCUUGAUUUGCCUUCCUUAAGCAUUCAAAGGAAAAAAGUAUAACUUUUCUUCAUUAGCAAGCAAGGCACAGGCAUGCUUUACUAAAUUACACUUUUGUACGCCAGUACAUGUACGGCUAUAUUAUUAUUAUGCAGCUCUGUUCAAUCUUUAUCGAUACCAUAAUAUUUUUAUAGCACAGGGUUCAAUCUUCUUGGGGCUGAAUGGGAAAUGCAUAGGAUAAGUUCAGGGAAAUAUACAUAUAGGUCCAUUUGAAAGAUUAUUUUGUACAUAUAGGCCUACUGUAUUAAUUAGAAAAUAUACCUCAGAAUUGUAUACAAUAUGAGUGGAGAACCUUGAAUACUCGUUUGUCAAAUACAAUGUAUUUACAUGUUUAGGAAUUAUUGGUUAAUCGCCAUAGUUGGUGUGGUUUGUGUCCAUUUCAAAUACAUUUUAGAAGAAUCUAGAUAUUUAAGGUCUGGUAUUUCCAUGUACAUUAAAUUGUUAAACAUAUGACUUGUAAUAAUAUUUACAAUACAAUCAACAUGUUUUUAAAUUUUACACUUUUCCCUGUAACUAACUAGCAUUUAUUUCAAAACAUUAGUUUUUAUCGUACAUUUUAAUACAUGUAUACUACUGUAAGGUAAAUAUACUAUACAGCUAGAAACCUUAGGGUUAACAAGCAUUAUGAAGAAAAGGCAAGUUUAGUUACCAUAUCAUGGCUAAAUAUGUGACAUAUUUCACAAUUCUAUUUCAACAUGUGUUUUACAUAUUUGUAGAAUAGUCACUGUAUUUGCAUACUAUGUACAUGUAUAGAUACAUGUAGUUCACAAACAUAUUUCUGAACAUCUUUCAGAAACAUGUGUAUAGUAUUAAAAUGAUAAGUUAGUCCAUGUAGUACAUGUAUGUACCUAAAUCUCCCUUUCAAAUCUUUACUGUAUGAUAAUAGACAAUGCAUAUGAGUCU